UUAGGUUCACGGUACAGAAGAAAGGUCAAACUACCACCAGGGUCAUAAAACUACUCCUGGAAAUGCCCACAACUCCCACGAAAGCCUUGUCAAAUAGGUGUUCUUGGGUGGCAAAAUAUCUUAUAAUACGAACCAUUGUGUUUGUAGCUAAGGGCGGUAUUAAAACACUUUCGCUUCUCACACCAGUAUUUCUAAAGGUCAAAGAGGGGGUCAAUUGGGUUCUUAUGAGUGUUUCUUUAGGUUCACGGUACAGAAGAAAGGCCAAACUACCACCAGGGUCAUAAAACUACUCCUGGAAAUGCCCACAACUCCUACGAAAGCCUUUAAACACUUUCGCUUCUCACACCAGUAUUUCUAAAGGCCAGAGGGGGUCAGCUGGGUUCUAAUGAGUGUUUCUUCAGGUUCACGGUCAAACUACCACCAGGGUCAUCAAACUACUACUGGAAAUGCUGGGUUCUAAUGUGUGUUUAUUGAGGUUCACGGUACAGAAGAAAGGUCAAACUACCACCAGGGUCAUCAAACUACUACUGGAAAUGCUGGGUUCUAAUGUGUGUUUCUUUAGGUUCACGGUACAGAAGAAAGGUCAAACUACCACCAGGGUCAUCAAACUACUCCUGGAAAUGCCCACAGCUCCCACGAAAGCCUUGUCAAAUGAGUGUUUCUUUAGGUUCACGGUACAGAAGAAAGGUCAAACUACCACCAGGGUCAUAAAACUACUCCUGGAAAUGCCCACAACUCCCACGAAAGCCUUGUCAAAUGAGUGUUUCUUUAGGUUCACGGUACAGAAGAAAGGUCAAACUACCACCAGGGUCAUCAAACUACUACUGGAAAUGCUGGGUUCUAAUGUGUGUUUAUUGAGGUUCACGGUACAGAAGAAAGGUCAAACUACCACCAGGGUCAUAAAACUACUCCUGGAAAUGCCCACAACUCCCACGAAAGCCUUGUCAAAUAGGUGUACUCGGGCGAC